rnacentral:ncRNA from 1 species
UUCGCCUUUCUGCAAACAGGGGAAGCAGUCAGACGGUUUGGCUGCCUACCGGGAAGAGGGUGAGAAGCCCUCACGGCCCCGCCACUGUAACCGCAGACGAACGCUGCUGGGAGACCCGAUCUCCAGCCACUGUCCCUCAGGGGACGGGAAGGCGCAGUCAGUAGGACGAAGCGGAAGUCAGGAGACCGACCUGUUUGCCGACCGGAUA